ensembl:snoRNA
GCAGACUCACUCUGCGAUUGGCUGCAGGCUCCAGGAGGUGCUUUCCUGUCAGCCAGAGAAUAUCCCAGGGAGCUGUGGGAGUCUCCACCUCUAAAGAGAGUGUUGCAACUUACUGAGGAUGAAGGA